ACAUCACUGAAUACAAAUUCUCUCCCCUUUGACAGACAUUCCGUCAACUUUCUUUACUCCGGAGUCUGCUGCGUGACAAAGACGGGGAGAGUGCCGUGAUGGCAUACAAUUAUGCUUUGUUCUAACAAGCAAGGAAAAGUGGUCCAGCCCAGGCUAACACUUCUACCAUCUCAUUUCAGAGCUUGUGUCUUCUGAGUGAAAACGGUCAACGUAAGGAGCUGACAUUGAGGCCAUACCAGGAGAGUCAUUGUGAUGGUCUUGAUAACCAGAUGCUGUGGAAGGGACAUCGCAUGGUUUGUGAACUCAUCAAGGAAAUGUGCUUCUACCUUUGGGGAAACACAACUUUGGAGCUCUGAGCCACCAGGAGAGCUCAGGGAGCAAUUCAAACAGCAAUGCAGCUGCUUCCAGUCUGACUAAAUAAAAAACCAAGCAUACUUCGUUUGGUCUCUCCGUUAUGGCAUCUCAGCCUGGUGAUAUUGUUAAUAAAGAGCUU